rnacentral:rRNA from 1 species
UACAGAGGGUGCGAGCGUUGUCCGGAUUUAUUGGGCGUAAAGAGCUCGUAGGCGGCUUGUUGCGUCAGCUGUGAAAACCCGCGGCUUAACCGUGGGCCUGCAGCUGAUACGGGCAAGCUAGAGUUCGGUAGGGGAGACUGGAAUUCCUGGUGUAGCGGUGAAAUGCGCAGAUAUCAGGAGGAACACCGGUGGCGAAGGCGGGUCUCUGGGCCGAUACUGACGCUGAGGAGCGAAAGCGUGGGGAGCGAACAGG